CCUACGGGCGGCAGCAGUGAGGAAUAUUGGUCAAUGGGCGAGAGCCUGAACCAGCCAAGUCGCGUGAGGGAGUACUGCCCUAUGGGUUGUAAACCUCUUUUGUCGGGGAGCAAAAGCCGGACGUGUCCGGCUGUGAGAGUACCCGAAUAAAAAGCAUCGGCUAACUCCGUGCCAGCAGCCGCGGUAAUACGGAGGAUGCGAGCGUUAUCCGGAUUUAUUGGGUUUAAAGGGUGCGCAGGCGGAUUUUUAAGUCAGCGGUAAAAUCGUGGGGCUCAACCCCUCCCAGCCGUUGAAACUGGGGAUCUAGAGUGUGCGAGAGGUAUGCGGAAUGCGUGGUGUAGCGGUGAAAUGCAUAGAUAUCACGCAGAACCCCGAUUGCGAAGGCAGCAUACCGGUGCACAACUGACGCUCAGGCACGAAAGCGUGGGUAUCGAACAGGAUUAGAUACCCGAGUAGUC
rnacentral:rRNA from 1 species